rnacentral:rRNA from 1 species
GCCGCGAAUUCGCCCUUAGGGUUUGAUUCUGGCUCAGAUUGAACGCUGGCGGCAGGCCUAACACAUGCAAGUCGAGCGGAUGAAGGGAGCUUGCUCCUGGAUUCAGCGGCGGACGGGUGAGUAAUGCCUAGGAAUCUGCCUGGUAGUGGGGGAUAACGUCCGGAAACGGGCGCUAAUACCGCAUACGUCCUGAGGGAGAAAGUGGGGGAUCUUCGGACCUCACGCUAUCAGAUGAGCCUAGGUCGGAUUAGCUAGUUGGUGGGGUAAAGGCCUACCAAGGCGACGAUCCGUAACUGGUCUGAGAGGAUGAUCAGUCACACUGGAACUGAGACGCGGUCCAGACUCCUACGGGAGGCAGCAGUGGGGAAUAUUGGACAAUGGGCGAAAGCCUGAUCCAGCCAUGCCGCGUGUGUGAAGAAGGUCUUCGGAUUGUAAAGCACUUUAAGUUGGGAGGAAGGGCAGUAAGUUAAUACCUUGCUGUUUUGACGUUACCAACAGAAUAAGCACCGGCUAACUUCGUGCCAGCAGCCGCGGUAAUACGAAGGGUGCAAGCGUUAAUCGGAAUUACUGGGCGUAAAGCGCGCGUAGGUGGUUCAGCAAGUUGGAUGUGAAAUCCCCGGGCUCAACCUGGGAACUGCAUCCAAAACUACUGAGCUAGAGUACGGUAGAGGGUGGUGGAAUUUCCUGUGUAGCGGUGAAAUGCGUAGAUAUAGGAAGGAACACCAGUGGCGAAGGCGACCACCUGGACUGAUACUGACACUGAGGUGCGAGAGCGUGGGGAGCAAACAGGAUUAGAUACCCUGGUAGUCCACGCCGUAAACGAUGUCGACUAGCCGUUGGGAUCCUUGAGAUCUUAGUGGCGCAGCUAACGCGAUA